rnacentral:rRNA from 1 species
UAAGGUGGUUAUGGCAACGGGGCUCACCUCUUCCCAUUCCGAACAGAGAAGUUAAGCCCGUUAGCGCAGAUGGUACUGCUAUUUGUGGGAGAGUAUGUCACCGCCUUUUUUU